GGGGGAGGAUCUAAGCCAUGCGAGUCAUUGUAGCAAUACAAGGCAGACGGCUCAGUAACGCGUAGUCAAUCUACCCUAUGGACGGGAAUAACCUCGGGAAACUGAGAAUAAUGCCCGAUAGAACAUUAUACCUGGAACGGUUUAUGUUUCAAAUGAUUUAUCGCCGUAGGAUGGGACUGCGGCCUAUCAGUUUGUUGGUGAGGUAAUGGCCCACCAAGACUAUUACAGGUACGGGCUCUGAGAGGAGUAGCCCGGAGAUGGGUACUGAGACACGGACCCAGGCCCUAUGGGGCGCAGCAGGCGAGAAAACUUUGCAAUGUCCGAAAGCACGACAAGGUUAAUCCGAGUGGUUUCUGCUAAAGAAACCUUUUGCUAGUCCUAGAAACACUAGUGAAUAAGGGGUGGGCAAGUUCUGGUGUCAGCCGCCGCGGUAAAACCAGCACCUCAAGUGGUCAGGAUGAUUAUUGGGCCUAAAGCAUCCGUAGCUCGUUUUGUAAGUUUUCGGUUAAAUCCAUACGCUCAACGUAUGGGCUGCCGGGAAUACUGCAUAACUAGGAAGUGGGAGAGGUAGACGGUACUCGGUAGGAAGGGGUAAAAUCCUUUGAUCUAUUGAUGACCACCUGUGGCGAAGGCGGUCUACCAGAACACGUUCGACGGUGAGGGAUGAAAGCUGGGGGAGCAAACCGGAUUAGAUACCCGGGUAGUCCCAGCUGUAAACUAUGCAAACUCAGUGAUGCAUUGGCUUGUGGCCAAUGCAGUGCUGCAGGGAAGCCGUUAAGUUUGCCGCCUGGGAAGUACGUACGCAAGUAUGAAACUUAAAGGAAUUGGCGGGGGAGCACCACAAGGGGUGAAGCCUGCGGUUCAAUUGGAGUCAACGCCGGG
rnacentral:rRNA from 1 species